rnacentral:rRNA from 1 species
GACGAACGCUGGCGGCGUGCUUAACACAUGCAAGUCGAACGGAAAGGCCCUGCUUGUGUGGGGUGCUCGAGUGGCGAACGGGUGAGUAACACGUGAGUAACCUGCCCUUGACUUUGGGAUAACUUCAGGAAACUGGGGCUAAUACCGGAUAGGAGCUCCUGCUGCAUGGUGGGGGUUGGAAAGUUUCGGUGGUUGGGGAUGGACUCGCGGCUUAUCAGCUUGUUGGUGGGGUAGUGGCUUACCAAGGCUUUGACGGGUAGCCGGCCUGAGAGGGUGACCGGCCACAUUGGGACUGAGAUACGGCCCAGACUCCUACGGGAGGCAGCAGUGGGGAAUAUUGCACAAUGGGCGGAAGCCUGAUGCAGCAACGCCGCGUGCGGGAUGACGGCCUUCGGGUUGUAAAACGCUUUCGCCUGUGACGAAGCGUGAGUGACGGUAAUGGGUAAAGAAGCACCGGCUAACUACGUG